rnacentral:rRNA from 1 species
AUGGCGAAGUACUGGUGGGGGAGUUCACUGGACCGUCGAUCUUUGCAUUGGAUUGCUUGGGACAAGCUGGCUACGCCCAAAACUAAUGGGGGAAUGGGCUUUCAUGAUAUGCGGAUAUUUAACUUGGCUCUGUUGGGGAAACACGGAUGGAGAUUCAUGACUAAUCCUACUUCCCUUUGCGCCAAGGUUAUGAAAGGUAGAUACUUCCCCACCUCUGAUUUCAUGCAAGCUACUGUUUCAAAAUCUUCUUUAGCUAUCUGGAGAGCGAUAGUGGCAGGACGAAAAGCACUAAGCACAGGGCUUGUGAAACGAGUGGGUGAUUGUACAUCUAUUCGGGUGUGGGAGGACAAGUGGAUAUCUUCCACCAACACCAUGUCUCCCUUACUACGACGAGACAACACAACAGUUCAUACUGUUAGUGACUUAAUUGAUACUUCAAAUUGGUCAUGGCAUAGGGAUCUGGUACGGGAAACCUUCAUUGCUCCUGAUGCUGAGACUAUACUGAACAUACCCUUGCGUCGAGGUGGAGGAGAUGAUUUCCUAGCAUGGGCACAUGAGAAGUCAGGCAUCUACUCUGUUAAAUCGGCGUAUCGAGCUCUGGUGAAUCAGAAAGAGCGACUAGCUCUAGAAGAGGGGCAGAUUACCGGCACUUCAGCGAACCAACAACAGAUGUGGAAAGAUGUGUGGAAGCUCAAUGUAGUCCCAAAAGUACGAGUUUUCUAG